CACACGGUCAUGGUUUUGUUGUUCACACGUUCACCGGUUUCAUACGGUUCUCACAGUGUCAUGUUUCGUGCGGUUGUGGCCAUGCGCUCAUAGCAUGUUUACAGCAUUAUACUGCUCAUAGCUUUUGUCAGAUGGACGUUACUACCACAGUUGCCAAGGUAUGGUUAUCACCUCUAGUAUUCACUAGUUGGUCGGGGCUACUCUUUCAGCACACAAGGAAUAGUCUACUUCGGGUCGGCUCCAUUGUAGCGUGACGCCGGUGCAGCACUGAUGGCGACCGAUGACGCAGGAUCUGAACUGACACGCAUCCAGCGAACAGUGAUACCGCCAUGGCUUGAUUAAAGAACGUGGAAGCCAGCUCAGGAUACCAGUGCUUUCUACUGACACAUGAUGCCCGUAUCAGGAACUUACCAGAACAGGAGAAAAUCCCCAAAGCAAACCUAUGCUGCUCUGUCAGAAGAGAGCACUGUGGACAAGACAAAAAAAUAAA